rnacentral:tRNA from 2 species
GGGCGUGUAGCUCAGUUGGUAGAGCGUUCGCUUAGCAUGCGAGAGGUCCUGGGUUCGAUUCCCAGCCCGUCCA